rnacentral:RNase_P_RNA from 1 species
CGAGAUGAACAGACGGUUGCGUCGGGAAACCGACGAGGAAAGUCCGAACACCGCAGGACGGGAUGCCGGCUAACUACCGGUGAAGGCGACUUUAAGGAAAGUGCAACAGAAACAAACUACCCUCCGCGCAAGCGGAGGGAAAAGGUGAAAGGGCGGGGUAAAAGCCCACCGGCGACGCGGCGACGCGACGCGCUCUGUAAACCCCAUCCGGUGCAAGAUCGAGGAGAAUCGGUUGUCCGCCGCUCCUUCACAUCGCUCGACCCCUUCGGCAACGACGGGGCUAGACAGAUAACCGUCAAAUACAGAAUUCGGCUUACGGUUCAUACUCAAAAG